UGACCCGUUCAAGUCCAAGGCGUG
rnacentral:siRNA from 1 species